rnacentral:snoRNA from 1 species
AGGUCAUUUCAAAGAGGGCUUGUGGGACAAAACUCAGGAAUUCAACGCUGUAACGAAAUUUGAAGUUCUCCAUCGGAUGUAAUAGUCACUCAAUAGUGCUAUGUUUCAAUAUAUAUAAGC